GUUUGAUCCUGGCUCAGGAUGAACGCUAGCGGGAGGCCUAACACAUGCAAGCCGAGCGGGAUUUGUUGGUUAGCUUGCUAACUGACGAUGAGAGCGGCGUACGGGUGCGGAACAUGUGUGCAAUCUACCCUUAUCAAGGGGAUAGCCCAGAGAAAUCUGGAUUAAUACCCUAUAACAUAUGGGAUGGCAUCAUUUCAUAUUAAAAGCUACGGCGGAUAAGGAUGAGCACGCACAAGAUUAGCUAGUUGGUAAGGUAACGGCUUACCAAGGCGACGAUCUUUAGGGGGCCUGAGAGGGUGAUCCCCCACACUGGGACUGAGACACGGCCCAGACUCCUACGGGAGGCAGCAGUGAGGAAUAUUGGACAAUGGGUGGAAGCCUGAUCCAGCCAUCCCGCGUGCAGGACGACUGCCCUAUGGGUUGUAAACUGCUUUUAUAUAGGGAUAAACCUACUCUCGUGAGAGUAGCUGAAGGUACUAUAUGAAUAAGCACCGGCUAACUCCGUGCCAGCAGCCGCGGUAAUACGGAGGGUGCAAGCGUUAUCCGGAUUUAUUGGGUUUAAAGGGUCCGUAGGUGGGCUGAUAAGUCAGCGGUGAAAUCCUGCAGCUUAACUGUAGAACUGCCGUUGAUACUGUUAGUCUUGAGUGUAUUUGAAGUGGCUGGAAUAAGUAGUGUAGCGGUGAAAUGCAUAGAUAUUACUUAGAACACCAAUUGCGAAGGCAGGUCACUAAGAUACAACUGACGCUGAGGGACGAAAGCGUGGGGAGCGAACAGGAUUAGAUACCCUGGUAGUCCACGCUGUAAACGAUGCUAACUCGUUUUUGGUUUUUAUGAAUCAGAGACUAAGCGAAAGUGAUAAGUUAGCCACCUGGGGAGUACGCUCGCAAGAGUGAAACUCAAAGGAAUUGACGGGGGCCCGCACAAGCGGUGGAUUAUGUGGUUUAAUUCGAUGAUACGCGAGGAACCUUACCAAGACUUAAAUGGGAAUUGACAGCUGUAGAAAUACGGUUUUCUUCGGACAAUUUUCAAGGUGCUGCAUGGUUGUCGUCAGCUCGUGCCGUGAGGUGUUAGGUUAAGUCCUGCAACGAGCGCAACCCCUGUCACUAGUUGCCAUCAUUCAGUUGGGGACUCUAGUGAGACUGCCUGCGCAAGCAGUGAGGAAGGUGGGGAUGACGUCAAAUCAUCACGGCCCUUACGUCUUGGGCCACACACGUAAUACAAUGGCCAGUACAGAGGGCAGCUACUAUGUGAAUAGAUGCGAAUCUCGAAAGCUGGUCUCAGUUCGGAUUGGAGUCUGCAACUCGACUCUAUGAAGCUGGAAUCGCUAGUAAUCGCGCAUCAGCCAUGGCGCGGUGAAUACGUUCCCGGGCCUUGUACACACCGCCCGUCAAGCCAUGGAAGUUCGGGGUACCUGAAGUCGGUGACCGUUAAAGGAGCUGCCUAGGGUAAAACGAGUAACUAGGGCUAAGUCGUAACAAGGUAGCCGUACCGGAAGGUGCGGCUGGAACAUCUCAUUUUAGAGUAUUUUAUACUAAAUAAAUUAUGAUUCAUUCAUUUUUUUCGCUUUGGUUUUUACUUGUUGUUUUUUAGAUAUUAAAAACCCUUAAAAUUAGUAUCAGGGAUUAAUAGAGACUAAGAUUUUAUAAUAAUCUUGUGUUUAAUAAAGUCUCGUAGCUCAGCUGGUUAGAGCGCUACACUGAUAAUGUAGAGGUCGGCAGUUCGAGCCUGCCCGAGACUACUAAUGAAAAAGGGGAAUUAGCUCAGCUGGCUAGAGCGCCUGCCUUGCACGCAGGAGGUCAAGGGUUCGACUCCCUUAUUCUCCACAUUUAAUUUGUUUUUUUUGUAAUUGAGAAUAAAUUUAAGAAAAAAAACUAAAUUAAGAGAAGAAGUAUCAUUGACAUUUACGAUAAAGACAUCACAAAGAGAAAACCGAGCACUUUCGAGUGCUGAGUAAAAAAAUAGGAAAGAAAUCGUUAAGGGCGUAUGGCGGAUGCCUAGGCUUUCAGAGGCGAAGAAGGACGUGGUAAGCUGCGAAAAGCUACGGGGAUUGGCACACACGAAAUGAUCCGUAGAUAUCCGAAUGGGGCAACCCAGUAAGUUGAAGACUUACUACACCGUAAGGUGAGCGAACCCGGAGAACUGAAACAUCUAAGUACCCGGAGGAAAAGAAAUCGAAGAGAUUCCGUAAGUAGUGGCGAGCGAAAGCGGAUUAGCCCAAAAGUUUAUAUAUGUUUAGUGGAAUGUUUUGGAAAGAGCAAUCAUAGAAGGUGAAAAUCCUGUACACGAAAGGCAUAUGUGGAUGAAGAAAGAGUAGGGCGGGACACGUGAAAUCCUGUCUGAAUAUGGGGGGACCAUCCUCCAAGGCUAAAUACUCC
rnacentral:rRNA from 1 species